rnacentral:lncRNA from 1 species
CCUGCUGACCUAAAACACAAUCCUAUUCAAAACCUAACCCUAACCACUAACUCUAACCCCUAACCCAGUUCACGUAGGGUCCAGUUCAGAUGGGGUCCAGUUAAGAUGGGGUCCAGUUAAGAUGGGGUCCAGUUCAGAUGGGGUCCAGUUCAGAUAGGGUCCAGUUCAGAUUGGGUCCAGUUCGGUUACUGUCCAGUUCAGAUAAGGUCCAGUUCAGAUGGGGUCCAGUUUAGAUGGGGUCCAGUUCAGAUGGGGUCCAGUUCAGAUGGGGUCCAGUUCAGAUUGGGUCCAGUUCAGAUGGGGUCCAGUUCAGAUGGGGUCCAGUUCAAAUGGGGUCCAGUCCAGAUGGAGUCCAAAUCAGAUGAGGUCCAGUUCAGAUGGGGUCCAGUUCAGAUGGAGUCCAAAUCAGAUGAGGUCCAGUUCAGAUGGGGUCCAGUUCAGAUGGGGUUCAGUUCAGAUGGGGUCCAGUUCAGAUGGGGUCCAGUUCAGAUUGGGUCCAGUUUGGUUACUGUCCAGUUCAGAUAGGGUCCAGUUCAGAUGGAGUCCAGUUCAGAUGGGGUCCAGUUCAGAUGGAGUCCAGUUCAGAUUGGGUCCAGUUUGGUUACUGUCCAGUUCAGAUGGAGUCCAGUUCAGAUGGGGUCCAGUUCAGAUGGGGUCCAGUUCAGAUGGGGUCCAGUUCAGAUAGGGUCCAGUUCAGAUGGGGUCCAGUUCAGAUGGGGUCCAGUUCAGAUGGGGUCCAGUUCAG